ACUACAUUUACGGGGUCUCCCGGUGGCCCAGAGUCGAGAGUGCGUGCGCGUGAGAAUCCCAAGCAGGCUUCCACUCUGUCAGCCAGCGCAGAGCCCAAGGCGGGGCUCUAUCUCACAAACCAUGAGAUCAUGACCUGAGCCGAAAUCAAGAGUCAGACACUCAACCGACUGAGCCACCCAGGUGCCCCUCAACUUUUUAAAGAGAUUGUUGAAAACUUUAUAUUUGAUUCCUGAAAGUACUCAAUGGCUUACAGAAGAGAUGAAAUGUGGUCUGAGGGACGAUAUGACUAUGAAAGACUUCCAAGAGAACGAGUACCGCCUCGAAGUCACCCCAGUGAUGGCUACCAUAGAGUAGUUAAUAUUGUGCCAAAGAAACCACCACUGCUAGACAGACCUGGUGAAGGAAACUACAAUAGAUAUUACAGUCAUGUUGAUUACCGAGAAUAUGACGAGGGCCGCAGUUUUUCUCAUGAUCGAAGAAGUGGUCCACCUCACAGAGGAGAUGAAUCUGGCUACAGGUGGACAAGAGAUGAUCAUUCCACAAGCCGACAGCCUGAAUACAGGGACAUGAGAGACGGCUUUAGAAGAAAAAGUUUCUACCCUUCCCAUUAUGCAAGAGACCGAUCUCCUCAUAAAAGAGACCCUCCUUUUUUCAGAGAAUCGCCUGUAGGUCGAAAGGAUUCUCCACACAGCAGGUCUGGCUCCAGCGUCAGUAGUAGAAGCUACUCUCCAGAAAGAAGCAAAACGUACUCUUUCCAUCAAUCUCAACAUAGAAAGUCCAUCCGUGCUGGUGCCUCCUACAAACGGCAGAAUGAAGGAAAUCCAGAAAGAGGUAAAGAGAGACCUGUUCAGUCUUUAAAAACAUCAAGAGACACUUCACCCUCAAGUUCUUCAGCAGUUCCUUCAUCAAAGGUGUUAGACAAACCCAGUCGGCUAACCGAAAAGGAACUUGCUGAGGCUGCAAGCAAGUGGGCUGCUGAAAAGCUGGAAAAGGCAGAUGAGAGUAACUUACCUGAAAUUUCUGAGUAUGAGGCAGGAUCCACAGCACCACUGUUUAUUGACCAGCCAGAAGAACCUGAGUCAAAUGCAACAGAUGGCAUGGAAUUAUUUGAAGACAGUCAGCUAACCAGCCGCUCUAAAGCAAUAGCAUCGAAAACCAAAGAGAUUGAACAGGUUUACCGACAAGACUGUGAAACUUUCGGGAUGGUUGUGAAAAUGCUGAUUGAAAAAGAUCCUUCAUUAGAAAAGUCUAUACAGUUUGCAUUGAGACAGAAUUUACAUGAAAUAGGUGAGAGGUGUGUUGAGGAACUCAAACAUUUCAUUGCAGACUAUGACACCUCUAGUCAAGAUUUUGGAGAGCCUUUUUAGAAGAUUGCUCAGGCAAAAAAAAUGUUUCUAGAUUUUUUUUUUUUUUUGGAUUCUGUAAAUCCUUAAUAUAUAGAAUUUUUGUGAUGAAGAGAAAUACUUUAUGAUAGUCGACCACAUUUCCGAUAUCAAAUAAACAUCUAAAAUAGUUUAAGAUAUUUUAAUUAGAGUUUUUUAAAUCCACAUGUAGAGCCUCCUAAUCCAUACCUUUUAUCCCCCUAAAAUGAUGGGUCAGUUAAUUUUUCAAGCUUUGAAAAAGCAGUGUUGGAGAACAGCUCAUGUUCUAUAGUCUUCAGUAUGCGAUCAUUUGUUUUGGUCACAUAGUAUAUAAUUUAUAGGGUAGAGAUCGUUCCACUUAAACAUUAAUAGUCUUUUUGCAUUUCAUAGUCAGUGAUACCAUGUGAAAAUGUUAGAAUUCUGAGUUGUGAUUUUAUUGACUUGUUGCUUGCUUGUUUUAGGCUUUGUAACUUUUAAUAUGUUCAAGUAUACUAUCCAAAUAAACUGAAUACUCCAGUAUUUUACAGAAUAUUUGCUUUAAGAUUAAUUCCCAUUAUGAUAAAAUAGAGCACUUAAAUCUUAAAAAGACCUCAUAGUAAAAUCCUGUUUUCCAAGUAAAUCAACUCAAUGUCUUCUAUUAAAAUAAUCCUGAAACUCCUGACCAGUCUCACAGAUGUCUGAGUCUUAAACAAUAUCAUAUAUAAAGCUAAGAGAAGGGGCAAUUUGAGAUGAAAGAUGAGAGCUAUUUUCAAGUUGAGAUUUCUUUAAAAACUUCUAAUUGAGAGGCAUUCACUUUCCAAUGUCCCCUCUGUAAAGAGAGCUUUCAUACUAUUUUUACUUUCUGAUUUUAUACUCUAAUAAACUUUUGCCUGCUGCUCUAAAUAAAUAAAUAAAUAAAUAAAUAAAUAAAUACUUAUCAUUGAAAUAGAAAAAUUUCGAAUAUGAUGAAGUAGUGGAAUUUCAUUUUUUUCCCAGGCCCAUAUUUCCCAUCUCAAGAAAAGUUCAUUGAUAACAUAUCCACGAUCAAACCAUUUACAGAUUCCUUUGUUAAUCACAUUAUGCUUUUAUUUAUAUCUGUUUGUAGUUGUAACAAGAUCUUUGAUGUGUUGCCCUUUUUUAGGGAUCGUUAGCCCUCAAAAGUGUUCUUUAAAGAAACAAAGCAGAGUAGGCAGUAAGCCCAGCACAACUACCCCUCACCAAACAGUCUAUGUAAACAUUUCUCCAUGAGUGAGCCAUCCAAAUCACGGGUUACUUAAAAAUCUAACUGGGACCAUUAGGAUAUUCCACUCAUUUCCUGAUCACUUCCAGCUGCCCAGUGGCAUUUAGCCAAAAUAUGUAUUUCUGUGGCAUUAGGAAACCUUAAAAUCAUGCUUGUUAUUACUACCCAGUUUCAUUAUCCUCCCAUCCCUCUUUCCAUUUCCAUUCUCUUCUCACUUGAAUUCUGGCAUUAUCUUUAGUGGCUUACAUUGAUAUUAUCUAAAGAGCUACCCCAGAGUAGAUAAAAAUUACAUUAAAAAUGGAAUCAGCAGUACAAAUAAUUUUGGUGGAUCCUAUAUGGGUGCCUCAAAAUAUGUAUUGUCCCAUUCCACAAAUGUAAAAACUAAUUGAACAUAAUUAUUUUUCUUAAGUUUCUUAUAUGAGACUGCCUUGAACUCUUACUUUUGCCAUUUAAAGGUACAUAAGCUGAAACUAAACCCCACAUAUCACCUCUGGUAUUCUUUCCUAAUUACGAACAGUGAUUUUGUUACCACUUUAGAAAGAAAAGACUAAGAAAGUACUGAUGUUGGUUCUCCCCUACCCCCAUGUUUUUCUUUUCCUUAAAUAUUCUAAGUCCAGGAUUCAAUUCCUUUAGUCAAGAUGUUUCAUGUUUAAAAAUAAAAGUUAAGAAACUACCAUCAAGGCAAAUGAGUUGUUCAUUCUGUUGAAAUUCAUUAAACUAGAAAUUCAUUAAGCUAGAGGUUUUGCUUACAGAUGCAUUUAAUUGUAGGUUCAACAGAUAAUUUCUUCUUCUCUCCUUUCCCCAAAUUAUAUUCAACAUUUAAAGCUCUUUAUAGCUUGCCAUCAGCAUUAUUCUGGUAGGCUUGUCAGUGUUAAUUCUGUUUGUUUUUGACAGCUUUUUAAAGUCCAGUUUUAGGAUAGUUGAAUUCAGAUGUGUACGAGAGUGUGUAUUUUACAAAAUGUUCUUGAUUAAUUUGUUUGUAAAGUAUCCAUUGUUUUUGAGUAUGCCCAGCUGAUAUGAUAAAAUUUUCAUUGUCUUACCAUAAAGCCUUGAUGAUCAACAGGGAGAAAGCAGAUAGUGUGAAGCUUUUUGUGAAUUUUAAAAGUGCAAAAUAAAGCAACCAGGUUUAAAUAAUUGGAUUGUCUUUUUUUUUCUCUUUAACAGGCUUAAAGUAUUUUCCUGAAAUGUAGAUUUUUAUUACUCCCUACUGCAAGAUUACUCAAUGUUCAGUUCACCCACUCAGCAGCAGGAUGGAAGAAUUGAGAAAUUAUUAACUUUGGUGACUUAAGGAGUGUUGAUAUCUGAGCAAGCAAUUAAAUGAGAUAAGAUUGAACACACAGAAGUGCUCAGUAAUUGUGUAAUUAUGAAUCUGCGUUUCAGGGAAUUGUAGGAUUAAAAUCUUAACCUUUUUAUGGAACCUCUGGAGGAACCGUGUCUUUGGGACCUGGUUCCUAGCACAGUUUGGAAUGUUGUAGUUACUUGUAUUCCUUGACACUUCACAAAAGAAGUGACAUUUGACCAUAGGUCUUGGAGAAAUAGGACUUAUUCAGGCAGAAAAGGGGAAGUAAUAGAAGUCUAGGAAGAGGAGAAUGGUACAGGGAAAGAUGGAAGCCUGUAUGACUGAAGCCGGUUGGGAAAGAUGUUAGGGGACAAAUUUAGGAAAAGAUUGGUUAACAGAAAGAAUGAUUUUGAAUGUUUUUAGCUUUAUCCUUUUUCUUCUACUCAUUCAAGAAUGACAUUUGAAAAUACUGUCUUUGAAGAUAUUACCUUUGUAUUUAUUCUUGCCCAAAACACUAAUUUCCCACAGCCUCUCAGCCGCUUACCAACUCUGAGCCAGUUUAUAGAUCCAGAACACCUUGAAGAAAGGGCAGGCCAGCUCCCCUUCAGAAAGGAUUCUGCUUGCACCCAGACAUUGCAUAGUGGUUUCAGCUUCAUUUCAGAGUUUCCUGCAAGGGAUCCUAAACUCCAAAGAAGGCUCUGACAAUUCUUUGGUGACAACUUUGGAGACUGUAUUCAGUGUCGAGGGCAUCCAGCCACCCAGGUGGCUUGACAGCUAUAAUGCUGCUCAGGUUGGCACACUCUGCUUGCCAGAUGAGGGUUUGUGGGUUAUGCAUAGUACGUUUACCAUCUCCUUCCUGCCUUUUCUCUUGAGAGCACUGAUGUUCAAUUCAGUGAAAAAGGUGGGGGAGUGGGAGGAGGAAGGAAGACUAGUAAUAGUAACUAAGGCGGUUAGCAGAAUCUUUUCUCCCCCUUUUCAUGUAAUGGAGUUGAAAUUGAGUCACAUGACUGCUAAUUAGGAUUUUAUUUGCUGUGUUCCCCCUUGCAGUUAGGUGUAAUCAAGUGACUGAGUCCAUUCCCAUGGAAUUUGAGUGGAAGUACCUCUUCUUCUGGGCUGGGACCCUUAGGACAGUGGAUGUGCUCCUUUGUAGUCUCUCUUUAUUCCUUCCCAAAGUAGUAGCAAUAGCAACUCAGCCUUGAUUUGCUGCAGAGCCACAAGAUGGAAGGAACUUGGAUCCCUACAUGACCACAUGGAGUACUGAACUGUUGGGUGAAAGAGGAAUAAACUUCUUCACUGUUUAAGCCACAUUAUUGUUUUUUUGUUAGCAGCUUACCUUUGGUUCAAAUUAAUGCAAAUGGUAUUUCAGAGUUAGCUUCACUGAAGUUGGUUCUCAGCAGGCUGUACAAGUCCUGCCUUUCCAUUGUAAUAAUUGAUCUUGGGGUAAUGGGGACUGAGUAUAUAAAAGGCUUUGCCAAGGGGCACCUGGCUGGCUCAGUCUGUGAGGCAUCUGACUCUGGAUCUUGGGGUUGUGAGUUUGAGCCUCACAUUGGGUAUGCAAUUAAAAAUUAAACAUGAUACAAUGAAAAAUACAAUGAAAAAAAAAGGCCAGUCCACUGAGUUAAUUCCAAGUUGUAUUUAAAAUCUCACUUGAUGACAAAUAUCAAUAAAGCCUGAUGCACAUUUGUAUAGUGGUAGAGACAGCCCGAUAAUAUAUAGCACAUUGUUUUUUGAGCUCUGUUCCACAGACUAAUAGUGUGCUAAUGUUAGACCAUUAUCACUGAAAUUAUAUAAGGCUUAAAGUUUUUUUUCAUUUUUUUGUGUGUGAAUGAAAAUGUAGAAGUUUACUGAAAUAUAAACAUUUGAGAACAUAUCAAAUAGGAAAAAACCACAACAUACACAGACACUUGCUGCAAGAGGACGUGUGAGGUAUGUAACCACCGCCUAGGCUACCCAUGUGUUAGCACAUUUUUCCUGGUUGGAAUCCAUGUAAGGUGGGAAGGGGACAGAGCUGCCCUGGCUGACUGGCCAUACAGCCUGCAGGUCUGCACCUUCAGUGAAAGCCCCUUUUGGCCCAGUUCCUGGGGGCACCUGCUGGCACCCCUACUCUUGGGUAGAAAGGCGGAGACCCUGCUGUUUUCCUUGAGGGUAGGGAGGGUUCACUGUGUGGGUAAGGCUGGACAAGCUGCCUGGGGAAAGGGAGAGGAUCCAGUGACCAGAAAGUGUGCUGUCCCUUCAUCCUCCAAGUGGGAAGAGUCCAUCCUUUGUGAUCAAACCCCUGAGAAAGACACACUGGCCAAAUGUCUGCAGUACCUUUAAGUGAGUCCAGCACGGCCAACUGGGUUCCUCUCUGUCACCAGAUCCCAGGUGCCCUCCUCUGCCAACAGCCUGUGCUUGCCUGGUGGGGAAGGCGGAGAAGGCUUCUGAGGCCGAAAAGGGUCAGCCCCCAGUGGAUGAGAAAGUGUGUGUGCAUUGUGUGUUGUGGGGGGCCACGGGAGGGGAGAGAAAAUGCAGUCCAGCAGAGUGUGUGUGCAUUGUGUGUUGUGAUGGGGGGGGCCACGGGAGGGGAGAGAAAACGCAGUCCAGCAGAGCUGUAGCUUACCAGGCCGAGGUAUCUGUUCUGUGCUAGCUUUUAAUUUCCUCCCCUUUCCUUUCCUUUUCUGCAUUAGCAGUUUGAGGGCUCCCACCGGCAUGGCCUCCCACCACCACAGCCUGAUGACACCCUCGUGGUGGUGGUCUGUGAACACUGCAGGGCAUACUCAUUUGAGAGGUGAGCCUUGUGUAAGAAUCACAUUUUCUUUAUGACAUAGGAGCAGCCUGCUCCCCCUGCUGAGGGUCCAAGAGGAGAGACGGAGCUCCCUCAUCUCCUAUCCCCUGGAGUGGCUUGACCUCUUCAAGGCCCAUGGCCUCCAUGGCCCGUCCCUGUCCUGAAGUGGGGAGACCUGCCCGCACCUUGGUUUGCCCCUGUUAAGGAAAUGGAUCUGGAAGGGCCCCCGCCUCUCCAAAGUCUCUUCAUAAUUCCGGAUGUCUCACAAUGCAGGGAAAAAAGUAGAACAGUGUUCAGGAAUGGGUUUGUUCAGGUUCCAGAGUUUGACCAUCAAGGAAGCAUGUAGAGGGAGCAACACCUUUAAGAGCUAACAGCACUGUCAAAGAUGGCACUGAGGUCAAGCACAGAGAACAGAUACUUGGAUUAAAUUACAGCAGGUAAGGAGUUAUUUGCAGGUACUAUUUUAAAGAGAGGACUAAAAGCGGACUAGAAAGAAGACUCAAGGAGACGAAUGACAAAAAGAAGAAAAGGGAACGGACAAGGGAGACGAGAAGGAAGCCCAAGGUUGGGUAGAGAGAAAUGAGAUACUUUUUUCUUACGAAGACAAGGACUAUCAUGGGGAUGCUCCAAGCCAGCCAAACAACAGAAGGUGGAAGAGUUUCAUUUCCCUUCUUUCUCCUUUUCUCCUUUCUUCCUUCAAAAUAGUUACUUCUCACCAUUUAAAAAAAACUCAAAGACAAA